rnacentral:lncRNA from 1 species
GGGGAACGACCAGAGCAGGAAGAAAAAGGGUAAAACCCUAAACUCCACAAAAUCUUCUAAUUGAAGGUGCAAUUGAAGACCAAACUCGGAUUUGAAUACAUAUAAACGAUCACCGAGCUAAGGGGAUCGUAAGGUAUGUCGAAAUUUAUAUUGACUCUAAACAAGCUAGGUGGGAGCUUGGAAAGGAACGGGUCAAACGGAUCAUGGAUGCGAAGAAUGUUUGCGCGAACGCGAGGUAAGUAAAGCUUACACCCAUUUGUAGUAAACGUAUGUAUUUUAUAGAUGAUAAAUGUGACAACCGAUUACAUUCGAAAUUGAAGUUCCGACACUAAGCAAUAUGAGUCGGAACGAAUAAAAAUGAUCAAAACCAUGGUUAAUGGUAAAAUGGACAAAAGGGUAAUUUAGUCGUGAAUCGACUAAGAAUUUAUAAGAUUUCUUUAAGGUUACCUUAUAGCGAAACUAGUAAUGGGAAAA